rnacentral:ribozyme from 13 species
CCGCCAAUCCACUUGCACGGGCGUGUUGGACAGGAUGAAAAAAAAAAAAAAAAAAAAAAAAAAA